rnacentral:rRNA from 1 species
GUGGGGAAUAUUGGGCAAUGGGCGCAAGCCUGACCCAGCAACGCCGCGUGAAGGAAGAAGGCUUUCGGGUUGUAAACUUCUUUUACCAGGGACGAAACAAAUGACGGUACCUGGUGAAUAAGCCACGGCUAACUACGUGCCAGCAGCCGCGGUAAUACGUAGGUGGCGAGCGUUAUCCGGAUUUAUUGGGUGUAAAGGGCGUGUAGGCGGGACAGCAAGUCAGAUGUGAAAACCAGAGGCUCAACCUCUGGCCUGCAUUUGAAACUGUUGUUCUUGAGUGUCGGAGAGGUAAUCGGAAUUCCGUGUGUAGCGGUGAAAUGCGUAGAUAUUAGGAGGAACACCGGUGGCGAAGGCGGCCUUCUGGACUGUCACUGACACUGAGGCACGAAAGCGUGGGUAGCAAACAGGAUUAGAAACCCGAGUAGUCC